rnacentral:snRNA from 1 species
UUAGUCCCAUUGGAUCAAAAAAUAUUCUUCCUGUGAGAGAAGAUGAGCAUGGGUCCUGAACAAGGAUGACAUGAAAAUUCGUGAAGCGUUCUGUAUUUUU